AAGAUAGGAUUAAAUCAGAAAUAAGCUUCUAACUUAAAUUCUUAGCAGUGAGAUUCUGUUAAUAUCUUU
rnacentral:tRNA from 1 species